CCGGCUCUCUCAAGUGUGGUGUGGAGGCUGCAAGGGUAACUGCAGAGUCCCCUCCAACCACUGGCAAGUCCUGAGGCACCCCCGAGGUCCACCCAGGUACUCCAGGAUAAUCGCCCCCUUCAAGACCCUCAACAGUGACAUCUGCAGAGACCUCAUAUCUGUAUAAGGGGACGGGGACAGUCCAGAAGCAUGGACCCUGGAAGAGGGACUGUCUGAUGAAGAGAAGAAAGAGGCCUUCAAUAUCAUCAACCAAUAGCCUGGAUGCAGAGAUAAAGAGGUUUUCUGGAGGAAACCAUGACGCUCUUGUCCUCUGCAGGGGAUCCAGGUUCAUUUGACAGCUAGUCGGUUACAGUUGGAGGGUGAAGCCAGUUGAGUACCACUGGGCCUCCAAGGACCCCAGCUCCUUUUGAACCGUCAACUCAGAGCAGUGCCCCACCCAGGCAGAGCGGGGAACCUUGGGCCUGCGCCUGGAGGGGACAAAAAAGAGCAUGGCCUGGCACCCAUCACACUGUACCCCCCACACCCCUAAUCUCCAUGGCUCUUCGCCUUUCUCUCCCCUGUUAGACUGUGAGCCCCUGGAGGGCAGAGCCCGCAUCCUCUCCAUCCCUGUUUCCCCACAGCCUCAUACGGCUCCACCAAUGUUUGU